rnacentral:rRNA from 1 species
AACGAACGCUGGCGGCAGGCUUAACACAUGCAAGUCGAACGCCCCGCAAGGGGAGUGGCAGACGGGUGAGUAACGCGUGGGAAUCUACCUAGUUCUACGGGACAACAGUUGGAAACGACUGCUAAUACCGUAUACGCCCUACGGGGGAAAGAUUUAUCGGAAUUAGAUGAGCCCGCGUAAGAUUAGCUAGUUGGUGGGGUAAUGGCCUACCAAGGCGACGAUCUUUAGCUGGUCUGAGAGGAUGAUCAGCCACACUGGGACUGAGACACGGCCCAGACUCCUACGGGAGGCAGCAGUGGGGAAUAUUGGACAAUGGGCGCAAGCCUGAUCCAGCCAUGCCGCGUGAGUGAUGAAGGCCUUAGGGUUGUAAAGCUCUUUCACCGAUGAAGAUAAUGACGGUAGUCGGAGAAGAAGCCCCGGCUAACUUCGUGCCAGCAGCCGCGGUAAUACGAAGGGGGCUAGCGUUGUUCGGAUUUACUGGGCGUAAAGCGCACGUAGGCGGUUUGUU